rnacentral:rRNA from 1 species
CUAGUAUAGCAUUAUACCGCGAAACUGCGAAUGGCUCAUUAAAUCAGUUAUCGUUUAUUUGAUAGUACCUUACUACAUGGAUAACCGUGGUAAUUCUAGAGCUAAUACAUGCUAAAAAUCCCGACUUCGGAAGGGAUGUAUUUAUUAGAUUAAAAACCAAUGCCCUUCGGGGCUCUCUGGUGAUUCAUAAUAACUUCUCGAAUCGCACGGCCUUGCGCCGGCGAUGGUUCAUUCAAAUUUCUGCCCUAUCAACUUUCGACGGCUGGGUCUUGGCCAGCCGUGGUGACAACGGGUAACGGAGGGUUAGGGCUCGACCCCGGAGAAGGAGCCUGAGAAACGGCUACUACAUCCAAGGAAGGCAGCAGGCGCGCAAAUUACCCAAUCCCGACACGGGGAGGUAGUGACAAUAAAUACUGAUACAGGGCUCUUUCGGGUCUUGUAAUUGGAAUGAGUACAAUUUAAAUCCCUUAACGAGGAACAAUUGGAGGGCAAGUCUGUCCCCCAGCAGCCCCUUGCCUUAAUU